rnacentral:sRNA from 1 species
GCACGGCCGCUGCCCGGUCCCGCCGCAGGCCCCCUCAUGGUGAUCGUGGAGUACUGCAAGUACGGCAACCUCUCCAACUUCCUGCGCGCCAAGCGGGACACCUUCAGCCCCUAUGCAGUGAGUGCGCGGCCUGCGGGGCGCGGCGGGCGGCCGGGGAAUGGAGGCGCCUCUGCGGCGGACGACCGGGCGCCCUCGAGCCAGCUUCGUGCAUCCGCAGGAGAAGUCUCCCGAGCAGCGCGGACGCUUCCGCGCCAUGGUGGAGCUCGCCAGGCUGGAUCGGAGGAGGCCAGGGAGCAGCGACAGGGUCCUCUUCGCACGGUUCUCAAAGAACGAGGGCGGAGCGAGGCGGGCUUCUCCAGACCAGGAAGCUGAGGACCUGUGGCUGAGCCCGCUGACCAUGGAAGAUCUUGUCUGCUACAGCUUCCAGGUGGCCAGAGGGAUGGAGUUCCUGGCUUCCCGAAAGUGCAUCCACAGAGACCUGGCUGCUCGGAACAUUCUGCUGUCGGAAAGCGACGUGGUGAAGAUCUGUGACUUUGGCCUUGCCCGGGACAUCUACAAAGACCCUGACUACGUCCGCAAGGGCAGUGCCCGGCUGCCCCUGAAGUGGAUGGCCCCUGAAAGCAUCUUCGACAAGGUGUACACCACGCAGAGUGACGUGUGGUCCUUUGGGGUGCUUCUCUGGGAGAUCUU